GCUGGUUCCGUUUGUUUCCAAUGAAACUAGACUCAAAAUGGAAUCUGUACAUAUAAGGGUCUAUUUUGGGUUGUCACAGGGAGAGCCAUCUCAAACAACUCUGGGAGGGAAAACAGGAUUUAGUAAAUUUGAAGGUGAUCAAUCUCUCCUUUUCUCGCAACCUUGUAAGAAUCCAGGACCUCUCAAGUGCCACAAAUCUUGAAAUUAUAGAACUUAUGGGGUGUUCUAACUUGCGUGAGCUUCCUUCAUCCCUUCAACAUCUGGAGAAGUGUUCUAACUUGCGUGAGCUUCCUUCAUCCCUUCAACAUCUGGAGAAGCUAACUUAUUUGAAUUUCUAUUUGUGUCAAAAUCUUAGAUCUCUGCCUAGCUUUUAUAAAGCCACAUCCCUAACCAAACUUGAACUUAGUGACUGCUCAAAUCUGUGUAGUUUUCCAGAAAUCUUGGACACUAUGGAAAGGUUGAGGAAUCUUGAUUUAAAUGGAACGGCUUUGAAGAAA